UCGUGUCUGCCAUGCACGACAGGGAGUCGUAUUUGAUUGAACCGUAACAAGAACCCUGGGAGGCCACUGGCGCUGAUGGAGGAGCGAACCCGCCCCGCGAGCGGGAGGUUCCUGAAAGACCAAGCCGCCCACCUAGCAAAAGGGUUCUUUCAAAUCUCUCCCAUCGGCAUAGCGGCGGAUGCUGU
rnacentral:sRNA from 1 species